rfam:Yersinia ruckeri strain 37551 YRO1b0000006, whole genome shotgun sequence.
UCGAGUACAAUAAAGAACUAAAAUAGCUAGACAACAAAACUAGGAACCACCUCCUUCGCUGGCCCAAUCUCCCUUGGGCUGGCAUUUUC